rnacentral:rRNA from 1 species
UACGUAGGUCCCGAGCGUUGUCCGGAUUUAUUGGGCGUAAAGCGAGCGCAGGCGGUUAGAUAAGUCUGAAGUUAAAGGCUGUGGCUUAACCAUAGUACGCUUUGGAAACUGUUUAACUUGAGUGCAAGAGGGGAGAGUGGAAUUCCAUGUGUAGCGGUGAAAUGCGUAGAUAUAUGGAGGAACACCGGUGGCGAAAGCGGCUCUCUGGCUUGUAACUGACGCUGAGGCGCGAAAGCGUGGGGAGCAAACAGG